rnacentral:rRNA from 1 species
GGCCUACCAUGGUGGUAACGGGUAACGGGGUGUUAGGGCACGACACCGGAGAGGGAGCCUGAGAAACGGCUACCACAUCCAAGGAUGGCAGCAGGCGCGCAAAUUACCCAAUCCCGACACGGGGAGGUAGUGACAAUAAAUAACAAUACGGGGUUCUUUCGGAUCUCGUAAUUGGAAUGAGUACAAUUUAAAUCUCUUAACGAGGAACAAUUGGAGGGCAAGUCUGGUGCCAGCAGCCGCGGUAAUUCCAGCUCCAAUAGCGUAUAUUAAAGUUGUUGCAGUUAAAAAGCUCGUAGUUGAAUUUCGGGGUCAGUAGGUUGGUCGUGCCACAGGUAUGAACUGGUCUCACUGAUUCCUCCCUCCUGAUGAACCGUAAUGCCAUUAAUUUGGUGUUGCGGGGAGACUGGACUGUUACUUUGAAAAAAUUAGAGUGUUUAAAGCAGGCUAACGCUUGAAUACAUUAGCAUGGAAUAAUGAAAUAGGACGUUCGGUCUUAUUUUGUUGGUUUCUAAGAUUGACGUAAUGAUUAAUAGGGAUAGUUGGGGGCAUUAGUAUUCAAUUGUCAGAGGUGAAAUUCUUGGAUUUAUUGAAGACUAACUACUGCGAAAGCAUUUGCCAAGGAUGUUUUCAUUAAUCAAGAACGAAAGUUAGGGGAUCGAAGACGAUCAGAUACCGUCGUAGUCUUAACCAUAAACUAUGCCGACUAGGGAUCGGAUGAUGUUAAUUUUUUAAUGACUCAUUCGGCGCCUUACG